GAUGAACGCUGGCGGCGUGCCUAAUACAUGCAAGUCGAGCGAACAGACGAGGAGCUUGCUCCUCUGACGUUAGCGGCGGACGGGUGAGUAACACGUGGAUAACCUACCUAUAAGACUGGGAUAACUUCGGGAAACCGGAGCUAAUACCGGAUAAUAUAUUGAACCGCAUGGUUCAAUAGUGAAAGACGGUUUUGCUGUCACUUAUAGUUGGAUCCGCGCCGCAUUAGCUAGUUGGUAAGGUAACGGCUUACCAAGGCGACGAUGCGUAGCCGACCUGAGAGGGUGAUCGGCCACACUGGAACUGAGACACGGUCCAGACUCCUACGGGAGGCAGCAGUAGGGAAUCUUCCGCAAUGGGCGAAAGCCUGACGGAGCGACGCCGCGUGAGUGAUGAAGGUCUUCGGAUCGUAAAACUCUGUUAUUAGGGAAGAACAAAUGUGUAAGUAACUAUGCACGUCUUGACGGUACCUAAUCAGAAAGCCACGGCUAACUACGUG
rnacentral:rRNA from 1 species